rnacentral:tRNA from 1 species
GUCCAUGGUGCUGCAGUGGAUAGCACUCUAACCUCACAGCUAGAAGGUCCUGGGUUCGAAUGCUGGCCUGGGCU